GACAGUCUCAGUUCAGAUUGUAGGCUGAAACUCGCCUAUAUGAAGUCGGAAUUGCUAGUAAUCGCAGAUCAGCAUGCUGCGGUGAAUACGUUCCCGGGCCUUGUACACACCGCCCGUCACACCAUGAGAGUCGAUAACACCCGAAGCCUGUAGUCUAACCAUAAGGAGGACGCAGUCGAAGGUGGGAUUGAUAAUUAGGGUGAAGUCGUAACAAGGUAGC
rnacentral:rRNA from 1 species